rnacentral:rRNA from 1 species
GAUGAGCGCUGGCGGCGUGCUUAACACAUGCAAGUCGAACGGUGAAGCAGAGCUUGCUCUGUGGAUCAGUGGCGAACGGGUGAGUAACACGUGAGCAACCUGCCCCUGACUCUGGGAUAAGCGCUGGAAACGGCGUCUAAUACUGGAUAUGAGCUGCGACCGCAUGGUCAGCAGUUGGAAAGAUUUUUCGGUCUGGGAUGGGCUCACGGCCUAUCAGCUUGUUGGUGAGGUAAUGGCUCACCAAGGCGUCGACGGGUAGCCGGCCUGAGAGGGUGACCGGCCACACUGGGACUGAGACACGGCCCAGACUCCUACGGGAGGCAGCAGUGGGGAAUAUUGCACAAUGGGCGAAAGCCUGAUGCAGCAACGCCGCGUGAGGGAUGACGGCCUUCGGGUUGUAAACCUCUUUUAGCAGGGAAGAAGCGAAAGCGACGGUACCUGCAGAAAAAGCGCCGGCUAACUACGUG